GAACCGAGCGAACGUUGUUCGGAAUCACUGGGCUUAAAGGGCGCGUAGGCGGGCGAUCCAGUCCGGGGUGAAAGCCUCCAGCUCAACUGGAGAAGUGCCUCGGAUACUGAUCGCCUCGAGGGAGGUAGGGGCGUGCGGAACUUCCGGUGGAGCGGUGAAAUGCGUAGAUAUCGGAAGGAACACCGGUGGCGAAAGCGGCGCGCUGGACCUCUACUGACGCUGAGGCGCGAAAGCCAGGGGAGCAAACGGGAUUAGAUACCCCGGUAGUCCUGGCCCUAAACGAUGGGUACCAGGUAGUGGACUUACAUGGGUUCACUGCCGAGGCAAAAGUGUUAAGUACCCCGCCUGGGGAGUAUGGUCGCAAGGCUGAA
rnacentral:rRNA from 1 species